UACGGAGGGUGCGAGCGUUGUCCGGAAUCAUUGGGCGUAAAGGGCGCGUAGGUGGCCCGGUCAGCGUGCGGUGAAAGCUCGGGGCUCAACCCCGAGUCGGCCGUGCGAACUGCUGGGCUGGAGCACUGUAGAGGCAGGCGGAAUUCCGGGUGUAGCGGUGGAAUGCGUAGAGAUCCGGAAGAACACCGGUGGCGAAGGCGGCCUGCUGGGCAGUGGCUGACACUGAGGCGCGACAGCGUGGGGAGCAAACGGG
rnacentral:rRNA from 1 species